CAUGGUCGGGGCGCGGCGGGCGGCGGGCGGCGAGAGGCUGCUGGCCGGGCGGGCGGCGCGGAUUUGGGCCGGAGGCGGGGGCCGGGGCGCGCCGGGCUGCGGUCUCGGGAGCUGUCGGCCGGGGCGGCUGCCGUCGGGCUGGAGGAGGCGGCCUGGCUUCUUCCCUUUCAUGGCCUGCUCCUGGGGCCUGGCCUGGUGUGCGGCUGCUGUUUAUACCUGCUGAAGUGCUUUCUCUGUUUGCAUUGGCGCGGCCACCUUACACGCUAGAGCCCCGAGCUGUUCAUGAGGUCUGUCCCAGAGCUUUGAAACCUAUGAGCUGGCGGCUGGGGCGAGAGCAUGUCUCUCUCAAUUUUUGGGUGAACUCCAUGUUUUUUCCCAGAGCUUAGAUCACUGUCCGCAAUCCAGGCUUGCUAGACAGAAUGUAACUGUGACUGCUGGAGACAUCCUGAACUUUUAAGGGCAAAAGGCGGAGGGGGAAGGGAGAGAAGAAAAAGCUCAAGGUCAACUUGACAGCUUGAGAGUGAACAUUUUUAUAUCUGGUAAACAAAGAUUUUUACGGAACUGGAAAACUUUAUCACCAAGGAAGGAAAAAAAAUGUCACUUCGUGUUAUGGCAAGAGGCUGUGUUGUUCCAGAGUUCCCAAUUCCAUCCCAAGUCAUGUUUGAGACCAGACCAGAUUAAUCAGUGGUUGUGGCAGGGGUGUUAGUAGGAGUGAUGUAAUUUUUGUAGAAAUUUACCUCUCUCCCUGGUUCUUUCAUUGGUCCCUAAUGACUUUUAGAAGAUGUAUCUUCUUCAAAAGUGGCAAAAUUAGGAAAAUUCUGACCCCUGUUUGUCCUUGCCCACCAAUCUUGGCUUUUCCUUCCCUGUGCCCUUGUUUGUCAUAUUAGGAAUAUCCCAACAGAUUUUUUGGCUAAGAUUUCUCCCCCUCUUCUCUUUCCAUGGGAAGUCUUGGUUCGUGGGAGAAAUUUUAUUUUGGUUAUAUAAGCUUGUGAAGAGGAGGAAGUGGCAACCCACUCCAGUAUUCUUGCCUGUAAAAUCCCACAGACAGAGGAGCCUGGCAGACUACUGUCCAUGGGGUUUCAAAGAGCCAGACAUGACUAGGCACAUAUAAGCCUGAGUGUGGCUAGAAUUGUAUAUUUUCCUUCUAUUUGUGUGUGUGUGUGUGUGUGUGUGUGUGUGUGUGUGUGAAUGAGCAUGAUAUAGAUGUAUAAAGGACAUCAUAUAUGAUAAACUAGUAAAUUAUUAAAGUGUUUUGCAGUAAAGUAUAACAAAUCCAAAUUAAAAAGUUGACACUUGGAAGAAUUGAAGUUUAAGGCUGAAUAUGAUGACUUCCAAGGUUCAUAGCAACUUUGUUUAUAGGAAAACAUAAGAGAGCCCUUGUUAUACCCUCUUCCCCACCUCCGACCCCCUAUGAAGUACAAGGUCUGUGCUUUUAUAAAUAUGUGAAGAAUUUCUUCUGUAAUGUUUGUCUGUGAAGAAUAUAAAAAUGCCUUUGAAUGGGGUAAAUGCCGAUCUUAUUUCACUGAGCCAAGGAGGAGGAAAAAAGCCUACUCUUUCUUGGUUUCCACCUAGAGAGAUGCUAGUGAGAAGUGAAUAAGCUCUCCUAGACUCUUCGAGAUAGUGUAUUUAUUCUUGGGUCCAGCUCAAUGGUCUUCCAUCUUACAGUGACAGCCUCUUUCCACCCCCUUCUUCAUAUUUCAUUCCCCAACCUGAUUCAUGCUGUUUGCCUGAUAAGGCUGAACAAUAUCUAAACUGAAUGUCUGACCUUGCCUGGAAGUAAUGCCAUGGGAGACUUACAUUAAUUUUAAUGUUAUAUAGCUUUUCCAACAUAUGGGAUGGCUUUGUUUGUCAUUCAAGAGAUUUAUUGAUGCAAUGUGUAUCCCCUGGUCCUUUCAUGAAAAAAUGUUUAUACCUGUGGGCAUGUCCAGAUGGCAGUGAAUGACUUGCAUUCAUGAG
rnacentral:lncRNA from 1 species